rnacentral:tRNA from 1 species
GCAGUGAAGGUUCAGUGGUAGAAUUCUCGCCUUCCACGUGGGAGACCCGAGUUCAAUUCCUGGCAAUUGUA